CAGACCUUCAAUACAACAAGUGAUCCAAGUGCUUAACUUUGAGGUUCCAUUGCCCAUUCUCCCAUCCAAGAUGCCGGUGGCCACCUAUUUUGCUCCUCCAACAUCACUCUCAACGGUGACCACUGACACUACUAGUUCUGAAAGAGGUCAAACAGAGUCUCACAACGCGGUUAUAACACCGAUUCCUCACAAUUUACCCCAUCUUCUACAACAAAAUUCGUCUCCAUCAAAAACAUUUCAGUCUCCACGAUAAUUCUUAAGUUAAUAAUUGUGAUAAACUGUAUUAAAAUAUUUUGGAAUUUAUCUUUCAAUUGUAUUCAUUUAAUAGUUGACAGCAUUAUUGUGUUCAUGUUGUAAAUACUUUAUGAAGUUUUAACUAUUUUCUUUGGAAAGGCUUCUUUCACUGUAUACUGCUUUCUGUUUGUUUUCUCCUCUUUAACCAUGUUAUGUAUGACUGCUUCAGGACCACAACACUCAACGUUCAUGUCUUUUAUAUGAGUAUUAAUGCUGUUGUGAAUUUUUCGAUGAGGCCUUUCUUGGUGUUGGUGUGAAGGUAUCUCUAUUAUUUUGGGAAUUGGCACUUUCUUUUUAAUCUUUAUAUUAUACAUCAUCGUAAUGUCGUUUAAAAUUGUCCAAAGAUUGAUCUUAGUGAUCAUCUGUGAACUAAGAUACAGAAAAUAUAAUAAGUUUUGUGCAACUGUGUCUCACUCAUAAACUUUCACUCAAAGAAAAUGUCAAAAUACAGCGCAUGCUCUUGCCUAGCUCAUUACAAUUUCAAUCUUUUUUAUUUAUAAGCUUAGUCCAUGCACAAAGCAGAACAUUCAAAAUUCAAACUCAGAAAUUAUUGAGAGAGACAAUAAAAAAAAAUGACCAACAAACAAGCUAAAAAUCAAACUGAAAUAAGAUGGGAAGAGAAAAUGGGGUUGAAGUAAAAAUACCAGAAAUGUUGAUGGCUGCAUUAAGCUCCUAACGAUUAGCCACCAUUUUUAUAAUCUGAAAGUUCCUGGUGCAGAGUGAUGAGCUUGACUCGGCCAAUAACAUGCUCCUGACUCCUGAGGACGUAAAAAACAAACAUCAUCCAACAACAUAAGGACCAAUUAAACACUGAAAGUGAGUAGAACCGAUGGUUCCAAUCAACACCCACAUACAAUUUUCACCAAAGAUUUCAUUUUUAUGAAAUUGGAAUUUGGGUUCGCUCUGCUGGUUCUUCUUCUGCAAGCAAAUAACAAAGUUCAUCUGUAUUUAAUUUUGCAUAACUAAAAGACGGUAUUUCUUUAGGGAGAUGACACGCUAGAAUGGCUUUCGCUAGAAUAGAAACGAACACGUAGCUCAAAAAAGAGAGAAGCCUCACAAGGAACAGAGCGGAGCCCGCACCAGGAUCAGGAGGCCAAGUCUAGCCCAAAAUAUUAAAAGAUACACGAAACAGAGAAAACCCACGAAGGCAUCAACCCCCUCAUGGGACAAGCGAUGUUCUUCCAUUCUAGCCUGAUACAAAAGCCCAAAGAAGAGUGUGCCUGCG
rnacentral:lncRNA from 1 species